AGUCGAGCGAAUGGAUUGAGAGCUUGCUCUCAAGAAGUUAGCGGCGGACGGGUGAGUAACACGUGGGUAACCUGCCCAUAAGACUGGGAUAACUCCGGGAAACCGGGGCUAAUACCGGAUAACAUUUUGAACUGCAUGGUUCGAAAUUGAAAGGCGGCUUCGGCUGUCACUUAUGGAUGGACCCGCGUCGCAUUAGCUAGUUGGUGAGGUAACGGCUCACCAAGGCAACGAUGCGUAGCCGACCUGAGAGGGUGAUCGGCCACACUGGGACUGAGACACGGCCCAGACUCCUACGGGAGGCAGCAGU
rnacentral:rRNA from 4 species